rnacentral:lncRNA from 1 species
AAUGGCGGCCGCCAAAGAACAGAAGCGCAGUCUGCACAUAGUAAUGUUUCCAAUCGCCGCCGCUGUAAUUGCAAUUCCGCAGCGUUUUCCGGUAGCUAUUCCGACCCCCUUUUAUCGGAUAUUCACUAACUCUUCCGUUUGGAGGUUUCAUUUUUUUUUUUUUUUUUUAUUGGUUGUGCUGAAAAUAACUAGGGCUGGAUUUUUUGCGUAAUUUUGAAUUAUUCUCCGGUGGAGGCUCCGACUGCGGACCGGUGGCGGCGUGGCAACGGCCCAACCAAGAAUUGCGUUUGAUGGAAAAUGAACGGUGGAGAUUAAUUGUAGACGGAGAGGAAUAACAGGGGGUGUUGAAAUUGGUGGUUGUGGCAGCCAUAGAAUUGCUAUUCGGCGGCGGAGCGAGGUGGUGCUGGUGGUGGUUUACUGUAGUGGGAAAAGGGCAGGAGCAAGACGCCAUUUUUAUUUUUAUUUUGCGCAAUUUUCAAGUUUUUCUCAGUU